rnacentral:rRNA from 1 species
GGCUCAGGACGAACGCUGGCGGCGUGCCUAACACAUGCAAGUCGAGCGGGGACAUUGACAGAACGGAAGUUUCGGACGGAAGGGAAGAUAAGUGUUCUAGCGGCGGACGGGUGAGUAACGCGUGAACAACCUGUCCUUCACAGGGGGAUAACACAGCGAAAGUUGUACUAAUACCGCAUAAGACCACGGUACCGCAUGGUGCAGGGGUCAAAGGAGGAAUCCGGUGAAGGGUGGGCUCGCGUCCGAUUAGAUAGUUGGUGAGGUAACGGCCCACCAAGUCAACGAUCGGUAGCCGACCUGAGAGGGUGAUCGGCCACAUUGGGACUGAGACACGGCCCAAACUCCUACGGGAGGCAGCAGUGGGGAAUAUUGGGCAAAUGGGGGAAACCCUGACCCAGCAACGCCGCGUGAGGGAAGAAGGUUUUCGGAUCGUAAACCUCUGUCCUAGGUGAAGAGGAAGAGACGGUAGCCUAGGAGGAAGCCCCGGCUAACUACGUGCCAGCCGCCGC